rnacentral:rRNA from 2 species
GAUGAACGCGGGCGGCGCGCCUAACACAUGCAAGUCGAACGGUUAAAGCACCUUUUAGGUGUGUAUAAAGUGGCGAACGGCUGAGUAACACGUGGGCAACCUGCCCUCCUCUUGGGGAUAGCCUCGGGAAACCGAGGAUAAUACCCGAUACUUCAAUGUGGCCGCAUGACGACAUUGAGAAAGCUUUUGCGGAGAAGGAUGGGCCCGCGGCCUGUUAGCUUGUUGGUGGGGUAGAGGCCUACCAAGGCAAUGAUGGGUAGCUGGGUUGAGAGACCGACCAGCCAGAUUGGGACUGAGACACGGCCCAGACUCCUACGGGAGGCAGCAGUGGGGAAUCUUGCACAAUGGGCGAAAGCCUGAUGCAGCGACGCCGCGUGCGGGACGAAGGCCUUCGGGUUGUAAACCGCUUUCAGCAGGGACGAGGCGAACGUGACGUACCUGCAGA